CUACGGAGGCUGUGAGCGUUAUCCGGAUUUAUUGGGUUUAAAGGGUGCGCAGGCGGGCGAUUAAGUCAGCGGUGAAAGGCUCGGGCUCACCCGGAGCAGUGCCGUUGAUACUGGUUGUCUUGAAUGCGGUCAAGGCCGGCGGAAUGUGGCGUGGAGCGGUGAAACGCAUAGAUAUGCCACAGAACACCGAUAGGGAAAGCAGCUGGCCGGGCCUGCAUUGACGCUGAGGCACGAAAGCGUGGGGAUCGAACAGGAUUAGAUACCCUGGUAGUCCACGCUGUAAACGAUGGACACUCGUUGUCGGCGACAGACAGUCGGCGGCCAAGCGAAAGUGAUAAGUGUCCCACCUGGGGAGUACGGUCGCAAGGCUGAAACUCAAAUGAAUUGACGGGG
rnacentral:rRNA from 1 species